AUGGCUGCAAUCGUCGAUAGAACAGUGCAUCGCCGACGCCAAGAGCAACGCCGCCAAGAGGGAGGAGAAAUCCGAGGCGAGGUGGUCGGCGUUGAUGAUGAAGCAGGGCGUCAAGUUCGACCUUCUCAGAACCAAUAUGUCGCUGCGAAGAAGAGGAACACCGACCUGGCGUUCCUGAUGGGAGCAUACACGUCGACGAUGGACGAGCAUGUGAAGGCGUGGUACCUGGCGGAGCGCGGCCUCAUCUUGAACCAGAUGCCAGGACCGGCGGCGACCACUGCCCCUACGCCCACGUCCAUGCCCACGCCUACGCCAACGCCGAGCACUGAAGCUGUGCCCACGACGCCAACGCCGACCUCUCCCAGCCCUACGGCAGAGGAGCCAGCCGUUUGA
rnacentral:rRNA from 1 species